CCUACGGGUGGCAGCAGUGAGGAAUAUUGGUCAAUGGGCGAGAGCCUGAACCAGCCAAGUCGCGUGAGGGAGUACUGCCCUAUGGGUUGUAAACCUCUUUUGUCGGGGAGCAAAAGCCGGACGUGUCCGGCUGUGAGAGUACCCGAAGAAAAAGCAUCGGCGAACUCCGUGCCAGCAGCCGCGGUUAUACGGAGGAUGCGAGCGUUAUCCGGAUUUAUUGGGUUUAAAGGGUGCGCAGGCGGAUUUUUAAGUCAGCGGUAAAAUCGUGGGGCUCAACCCCAUCCAGCCGUUGAAACUGGGGAUCUAGAGUGUGCGAGAGGUAUGCGGAAUGCGUGGUGUAGCGGUGAAAUGCAUAGAUAUCACGCAGAACCCCGAUUGCGAAGGCAGCAUACCGGUGCACAACUGACGCUCAGGCACGAAAGCGUGGGUAUCGAACAGGAUUAGAUACCCUUGUAGUC
rnacentral:rRNA from 1 species